rnacentral:rRNA from 1 species
UUCCAGGGGAAGGUUCGUCCGCCCUGGGUAAGUCGGGACCUAACGCGAGGCCGAAAGGCGUAGUGGAUGGAAAGCAGGCGGAGAUUCCUGCACCCGUAUGUGGAGCGAUGGAGUGACGGAGACGGCUAAUGUGACCCUCUUAACGGAUUGAGGGCGAAGCGGGGUAGCGGUCGACCAGGCAAAUCCGGUCGGCAUAACGCGAAGACGUGAUAGGGAAGCGAACGCUUUGGCAAGUAGCGAAGCACAUGAGGCCGGCUUCCAAGAAAAGCUUCUGGCAAUGCACAUGCGGCCCGUACCAAAACCGACACAGGUGGGCAGGUAGAGGAUACCAAGGUGAGCGAGAGAACUGUUGCCAAGGAACUCGGCAAAAUGGCUCCGUACGUUCGCAAGAAGGAGCGCUUAUGAAAAUAAGCCGCAGUGAAUAGGCCCAAGCGACUGUUUAACUAAAACACAGCUCUCUGCGAAGUCGCAAGACGAAGUAUAGGGGGUGACACCUGCCCGGUGCCGGAAGGUUAAGAGGAUCUGUCAAUCGCAAGAUGAAGCAGUGAGUUGAAGCCCCGGUGAACGGCGGCCGUAACUAUAACGGUCCUAAGGUAGCGAAAUUCCUUGUCAGGUAAGUUCUGACCCGCACGAAAGGUGUAACGAUUUGGGCGCUGUCUCGGCAGCAGGCUCGGUGAAAUCUUAGUACCUGUGAAAAUGCAGGUUACCCGCAACUAGACGGAAAGACCCCAUGGAGCUUUACUGUAGCCUGGUAUUGGAUUUUGGUCAGACAUGUACAGGAUAGGUGGGAGACUGUGAGACGUGCACGCCAGUGUACGAGGAGUCGCCGUUGGGAUACCACUCUUGUGUGAUCGGAGUUCUAACCUGGUGGCCUGAACCGGCCAUAGGGAGAGUGCCAGGUGGGCAGUUUGACUGGGGCGGUCGCCUCCCAAAGAGUAACGGAGGCGCCCAAAGGUACGCUCAGAUUGGAUGGAAACCAAUCGACGAGUGCAAAUGCAGAAGCGUGCUUGACUGUGAGAGCAACAACUCGAACAGGGACGAAAGUCGGGAUUAGUGAUCCGGCGGUGCC